AUCACUUCUUGGCCUUUUGGUUAAGAUCAAGUGUAGUAUCUGUUCUUAUCAGUUUAAUAUCUGAUAUGUCCUCUAUCAGAGGACAAUAUAUUAAAUGGAUUUUUGGAGCUUGGAGUUGGAAUAGGAGCUUACUCCAUCCACUCCAUGCAUUGACCUGGUAUUGCAGUACUUCCAGGAAUGGUGCACCCCCU
rnacentral:snRNA from 1 species